rnacentral:rRNA from 1 species
AUGACUUCUCCUGCUGCAAGGGGUUACCUUAACAGAAAUGUUGAUGGUAGCAGAGAGAACAUAUUCCAAAUUCUUCGGACGAUGGGAGAUAAAAGGGUCAUCUAUUUACAUGGUUGGGAUGGACUGGGGGCGUCUGCUGUCCUUAGAUCCAUAGCAGAAGUGCUCCCAUAUAGGAGAACCACUCCAGAACUAUGCUUUGAUAAGAUAAUUCACAUAGAUUGUUCAGACUGGAAAAAUAGAAGAGGAUUACAGAGGGCAAUCGCAGAGGAACUAGAGCUUGAAAGCUCAAUAAUGGCUGUUCUGGAUAAACAGGAUGAAGAGGAUGAUUUUCAGGGAGUUGAUGAAAGCUCUAGGAAUGAGAUAGGAAGUGUAUCAAGAGCAAUCGAUCAUAUUCUGAAAUACAACAGAUUUGUGUUCAUUUUUCAUAAUGGUGGUGACAAUGAGAUUGUUGACCUAUUCAACUGUGGUGUUCCUUUGGUUACAAGUUUUGGUGACAAUGUGAUUAUAUGGACCUACAAAAGGAGGGUGUUGACCAUUAAAAAAUACGACCAACAUGAACUACUACACAAACUGAGGUACACUCAUCUUUUGGCAUAUGAUAGGAUGGAGCGUCUACUAAGUGGACAGUUGUAUGCACUGCUGCGUAAAGAGGCUGAAAUCAUAGUUCCUGGCAAUCCAUGCACCGAGAGAUUCAGUCCAAUGGUGGUUGUCGAUUGUUGUCUAUACAAACUCUUUCUGCAAUGUGGUUUUUGCAAGACCAAUUCUGGUUGGGAUGGUCUUGCUUCGAGUUAUUGGAUAUGUGAUGGGAUACUGCCAAAAGACAUAACAACGGAGAUAGGUGAUGCAUUGCACCGAGAAAUAAGAUGGGAGUGUGAUGAUAAUGUGCUUAUAGAGUUCAAGAAACAUUUCAAGCUUCCUUUUCUCAUAGUUAAAGAAGAUGAUGUGUAUAAAGAAGGACCAUACCGUUGGAUUUCAAUCACAUCGAGGGAUAGUGAAAUACUGGGUAUCAAAAGUUUACCAGAAGAGACAUCAUCAUUCUUCUUGGAGUUUCAAAUAUCUGAUCAGCCAGCAGCAUUACCAAAUGGUUUGUUUCAACAUUCCAGCAACCUUGCUGUACUGACUCUCUGUUGGUGUGCCUUCAGUUUUGCAUCACCUCCUUUCCUAAACUGCCAUAACCUAAGAUUCCUUGGACUGUGCCACUGUACAGAUGACAAAACAGGGGAAGGAGAGGAUCAUACUGAGUGGGUUUGUCUUCAUAGUUUGUGGGUGUUGGACCUACAUUACACUGAAUGGAAUGAAAUCUUAUGGCCGGAAAAGAUGGAUCUCAUGGAUAACCUCAUGACGCUAAGCAUAGAGGGUGUCUGGUGUUGGCAAUACACAACUCACUUACAAGGUCGGCUACCAAACCUUAAAAGGCUUCGGGUAAUCAAGCCUAGUCGUGGACCGGAUAUUUCAACAGAACCAAGCAGGUCCUUCAUGGACAAGGUAAAGCUGGAAAUACUUGACCUGUCUGGCAACAGUGAAAUGAAAAUUCUACCAAACAGCCUAUCUAAAGCAAGUAGCCUUCAAGUGCUUAUUCUGGAUGGUUGCAAUGAGCUUAAAAAUGUUGCUAUCCCUGAUGGGCUACCUCGCUUGCUGAAGUGCUUCAGCCUUGAUGGAUAUGGGCCAGCUUUCAUUCGUGCGCCUACUGUCGAGCUACCUCUAAAACAAGAACGUCCUUCGAUCCCAGCAACUAAGGAAGGUGCCAGUAUCUCUAAGAUUUCCCUCGAAAGUUGCUCACAAUUGGAGAAUAUGUUCAUACGUGGGUUGCCCAACCUCGUUGAGCUUGACCUCUCUGGAACCGCAAUCAAGACACUUGAUUUCAAUACUAUGGUAUUAGAAGUCCCAAUGCUGAAGCAACUAUUUCUGCUAGGAUGUGAGCACCUUCGGGCAAUAAUUUGGAGCUCUAAAGAUAGCUUCCAUUUGAAUUUGUUGUGCAUAGACACACGAGCUGGAACUGGCCAUCCACGGCCAUGCACUGACCCCAAAAAAUCCUUUCGUUUGGAGGUGCAUGCCACUGUUGUGGAUGCCAGGCUUCUUUGGUCGUUGUGGCAUCCAUUAUAUAGUCAUUAUGCAAUUAUUAAGGAUGUUUAUUUUAAUAUCCAUGCCACCUCAGCUGUGUAUAAUGGAACGAUUGAAUCCGAAGUGGCAUACAAGGAGAAGAAGAUUGACAUGUAUGGAGAUAAAGUCAGCCUAUCGCAGCUUGUUCAAGCAGACCGGUAUAGUGAUGUCCAAAGCAUGGCCGGUGAUGCUCCGAUGCUGGCCUUCCCUAAGCCUCUGACUAACAACUUGGAUCGGCAUAUUGAGAUUGCUGAAGGGAGCCACUCCUUUGAGAGUGGACUAUAUGAUAUGAUGAAUUUUUUUGCCGAAUCCCUGCAUGUCCACGAUGUCUCAACUAGUGCUGGUUUGCCUGGGGUACACUGGGAGUUCCUCAGGCAGUGCCGCAUGGAGAGAUGCCCCAAGUUGGGUGAAGUCUUCUAG